AUACGUAGGGGGCUAGCGUUAUCCGGAUUUACUGGGCGUAAAGGGUGCGUAGGUGGUUUCUUAAGUCAGGAGUGAAAGGCUACGGCUUAACCGUAGUAAGCUCUUGAAACUGGGAAACUUGAGUGCAGGAGAGGAAAGUGGAAUUCCUAGUGUAGCGGUGAAAUGCGUAGAUAUUAGGAGGAACACCAGUGGCGAAGGCGGCUUUCUGGACAGUAACUGACGCUGAGGCGCGAAAGCGUGGGGAGC
rnacentral:rRNA from 1 species